AAAUCAGAUGAUGAGAUUGGAUUAAAAUUUCUCACGACGGUCGUCUGAGACACCUCGAUGUGUCUGCCUGAUGCAUUGAUCCAAUGUUUCUGAUGGUU
rnacentral:snoRNA from 1 species